UACGUAGGGAGCGAGCGUUGUCCGAAGUUACUGGGCGUAAAGCGCGCGUAGGCGGGAAAUUAAGUGAGAAGUGAAAGGCUGGGGCUCAACCCCAUGCAGUGCUCCUCAUACUGGUUUUCUUGAGGACGGUAGGGAGAAGUGGAAUGGCUGGUGUAGCGGUGAAAUGCGUAGAUAUCAGUCGGAACACCGGUGGCGAAGGCGGCUUCUUGGGCCGUUUCUGACGCUGAGGCGCGAAAGCCAGGGGAGCGAACGGG
rnacentral:rRNA from 1 species